UCAGCCUGAUCUCACACCUUAUUAACUGUGUGUGUUCACUUCAGCAUCACGCUGCAACACCAGCGAGAUACACACAUUCUUCUACCAGCCAAGUACUGUCUUAUCGCUGAUAAAAGAUAGAGAGCAGUGUGUGUGUUCCUACUCUGCCCUCUGUGUGUGUGUGUGUUCCUACUCUGCCCUCUGUGAGUGUGUGUGUGUUCCUACUCUGCCCUCUGUGUGUGUGUGUGUGUUCCUACUCUGCCCUCUGUGUGUGUGUGUGUGUUCCUACUCUGCCCUCUGUGUGUGUGUGUGUUCCUACUCUGCCCUCUGUGUGUGUGUGUGUGUGUUCCUACUCUGCCCUCUGUGUGUGUGUGUGUGUUCCUACUCUGCCCUCUGUGUGUGUGUGUGUGUUCCUACUCUGCCCUCUGUGUGUGUGUGUGUGUUCCUACUCUGCCCUCUGUGUGUGUGUGUGUGUUCCUACUCUGCCCUCUUGCAAUCAGGAAGUAGGAGAUUGUGUUUUGAGGAAGUGAACCAUGAAAGGAAAAUAGGUGUGUGUGUGUGUGUGUGGGAUCUUGUGAAUGAUUUGCUUGACUCAUCCACAGUGGGAGAGAAGGAGAUAUCUUACCCACGGCUUAUGUGUGUGUAUAUAUAUAUGCAUUCUCAGCAUGUGUGUGUUGUGUACGCGCUCUGUGUGUGUGUGUGUGUGUGUGUGUGUGUGUGUGUGUGUGUGUGUGUGUGUGUGUGUGUGUGUGUGUGUGUGUGUGUGUGUGUAUAGCAGUGUUAGUUCACUAACCCAGGGCUGUAGAGAGGCUUUUCUGCUGGAGAAAGCUCGAAGAUGGGAUGUGGGGGGUUGUGUGUGUGUGUGUAUGGAG
rnacentral:lncRNA from 1 species